UACGAAGGGGGCUAGCGUUGCUCGGAAUCACUGGGCGUAAAGCGCACGUAGGCGGCUUUCUAAGUCAGGGGUGAAAUCCUGGAGCUCAACUCCAGAACUGCCUUUGAUACUGGAGAGCUUGAGUCCGGGAGAGGUGAGUGGAACUCCGAGUGUAGAGGUGAAAUUCGUAGAUAUUCGGAAGAACACCAGUGGCGAAGGCGGCUCACUGGCCCGGUACCGACGCUGAGGUGCGAAAGCGUGGGGAUCAAACAGG
rnacentral:rRNA from 1 species